GACGAACGCUGGCGGCGUGCCUAAUACAUGCAAGUCGAACGCUGAAGAGAGGAGCUUGCUCUUCUUGGAUGAGUUGCGAACGGGUGAGUAACGCGUAGGUAACCUGCCUUGUAGCGGGGGAUAACUAUUGGAAACGAUAGCUAAUACCGCAUAACAAUGGAUGACACAUGUCAUUUAUUUGAAAGGGGCAAUUGCUCCACUACAAGAUGGACCUGCGUUGUAUUAGCUAGUAGGUGAGGUAACGGCUCACCUAGGCGACGAUACAUAGCCGACCUGAGAGGGUGGUCGGCCACACUGGGACUGAGACACGGCCCAGACUCCUACGGGAGGCAGCAGUAGGGAAUCUUCGGCAAUGGGGGCAACCCUGACCGAGCAACGCCGCGUGAGUGAAGAAGGUUCUCGGAUCGUAAAGCUCUGUUGUAAGUCAAGAACGAGUGUGAGAGUGGAAAGUUCACACUGUGACGGUAGCUUACCAGAAAGGGACGGCUAACUACGUG
rnacentral:rRNA from 1 species